rnacentral:tRNA from 1 species
AGCAGAGUGGUCUAGUGAAGAGGACACCAGGCUAGGAGUCAGAAGACCUGUGUUCUAAUCCUAGCUUUGCUG